AGAGGAGUGGUUGUCCGUCGUUAGCUGUUUCUCCGCAUCUCCAUCCUCCCCCUACCGCUUGUGGUCCGCUAUGUAACCCGCAGCUCCAGACUACAGACUGGGAGGCAACGUCGCCCAGUGUUGGCAGAGCAGCCUGGCCUUGAAGCUUCCUGAGCAGACAGCAGCAGCUUGGCAGUUUUCCAGUUUGUCAUUGAACACAAAAAGAUGACCUUGAAAACCUUACUUGCACAAAGCCCUCCUCUGCAGCUGCUGCAGAUCCACACGCACCACAAAGACUCGUUUGGCCUCAACACGUCUCCUCGCUG